rnacentral:rRNA from 1 species
AUUGAACGCUGGCGGCAGGCCUAACACAUGCAGGUCGAACGAGUGGCGGACGGGUGAGUAAUGUCUGGGAAACUGCCUGAUGGAGGGGGCUAACUACGGGAAACGGUACCUAAUACCGCAUACCAUCAGAUGUGCCCAGAUGGUAUUAGCUUGUUGGUGGGGUAACGGCUCACCAAGGUGACGAUCCCUAGCUGGUCUGAGAGGAUGACCAGCCAAACUGGAACGGAGACACGGUCCAGACUCCUACGGGAGGCAGCAGUGGGGAAUAUUGCACAAUGGGCGCAAGCCUGAUGCAGCCAUGCCGCGUGUAUGAAGAAGGCCUUCGGGUUGUAAAGUACUUUCAGCGGGGAGGCGUUACCCGCAGAAGAAGCACCGGCUAACUCCGUGCCAGCAGCCGCGGUAAUUC